rfam:Venezuelan equine encephalitis virus strain 78V-3531, complete genome.
AUGGGCGGCGCAUGAGAGAUUAGCCCAAUACCAAAUCAUACUACCCAAAUAUGGAGAAAGUUCACGUUGACAUCGAGGAGGAUAGCCCCUUCCUCAGAGCUUUACAACGGAGCUUCCCGCAGUUUGAGGUAGAAGCCAAGCAGGUCACCGAUAACGACCAUGCUAAUGCUAGAGCCUUUUCGCAUCUAGCUUCUAAGUUGAUCGAAACGGAGGUAGACCCAUCCGAUACGAUCCUAGACAUAGGCAGUGCACCUGCCCGUAGAAU